GAGGCGGCGCCAGCUGCUCGACUGCGACCCCUGGCGGCCGCUGGAGGCACUCUCUGCGGAGCUUCAAAAUCGAAUGGGCCGCUGGACACGAAGUCGAGGGAGUAUUAAAAAAAAACAACAAAAAACGGGAAUAACAAACUGUAUGUUUUAGACCAAAGGAUUUAGCUGGAAGAAGGAGGGAGGAGCGAGGCUUGGGGAGGUUGACAUACACAGCUCUGCUUCUCAUUAUGGAACUCACUUCACAGCAGUGGGCUAAUGCUCAUGAAAUUCAGUGGUCUUACCAUGUUCUCCACUAUCCUGAAGCAGCUAGCUUGACAGAACAGUGGAAUGCCCUUUUGAGGAUGUAAUUACAGUGCCAGCCUCAUCAGAUGUUUUCAAGGAACAGUUGCAGACUCAUUGCCACAAAGUGUACGUCUUCACUAAUUUAGUGCCUAGAAUAUUUUUGGAAGCACCUCAGGUUUUUCUUCAAGAUGAUGGCCAUCAAGAACACCAAACAUGCUUCAAGGGCUCAGAACAAGCCUGCCUUAGUCAAAGCAUAUGUUUUUAGUAUGUUCAAUGCUAAUGACAAAUCCUGAGCCUCUGGAGGGGUUCCCACCCCCCUACAACCCUAUCCUUAUCGUAGGAAUGCCAGGAGAAUUCAUCUUUGGGGCGAAGACUGUCAUUUUAUUUGUGAAACACUUGAGUGGGACUUGUGGUUAUGCAGAUGUAAGACUCAGUGUCCAAUCUAGGGGGAGGGAUUAAUACCAUAAAGACCUCUGACUUCUAAACAGCAAAAUGAAAGAGUUGUAGGCCUUGGGGGCAGAGACUGUCAUGCUAUUUACUUGUUUUUGGCUUCCUUGAGACUCUAGGAGUUGUGAUUCAAGACGUGGGGAAUAAUGGGAGACAAGAAUGCAUGGACUAUGGAAGAGUAUGGCUCCAGCAAGAUGGCAGAGACUAAGGAGGGAGACAACCCUGGGAGACUGCAUUAGGGACUGGCCAAUGGAUUCUAGCAGCAGCAGAAUCUGUUUUCCAAUUUCACAUUGUUUCUCCUCAAAGCUAUACUUUUUUAUAACCUAAGAAAUGCAUGUGUUCAGUAAAAAAUUUCCUAACCCUUACAACCUGUCACUAAUAACGAACUUUAUUAAGUACUUACAACAUAGCAAGCAUUCUUCAAAGUGCUCUAUGUAUUUUAAUGAAUUAACUUCUCUGCUUUCUAUUGCUUUUCCUUUAUCUCUACCUCCCAUUAUUCAUUCUCAUUUAUCUUUUCCAUUGUCUUUCCCACUUUCUCCUCUCUCACUCCCUCCAUUUUUUUCCCUCUACCUCUCUGUCACUCAUUCUCACGGGCUCAAUCUCACAUAAAAAUUAACUCGCAGAAUGAGUUAACUUAUUUAAUCUUCAUGGCAACCCAGGGAAAAAAGUAUUAUUAUCAGCCUCAUUUCACUGAGGUAAAAAAACUGAGUAAAAAACUGAGGUACAGGAGGUCAUACAAGUAACUUAAGGUCAUACAACUAGUAAGAUUCAGAGCCUGGAUUUGAACUCAAGAAGUUUGACUGCAAAGCUUAUAAUCUUAACCAUUGCUACUCUCCAUAUCUUUGUGAUUGCAUUGGCUUUGGAAAUAAAGGGAAGAUCUACAAUGACAUCUUAAGAUGGAGCGGACCAGAAAUUGUGGUGCACUGUGGAGAGGCAAGGUGAGCCCAGCAGGAGAAACCUGGGAUAAUCUGCAGUAAGCCCUUGGCAAUGAUUUCAGGAGAAUAUACGCACUUCCUGGGGAUGCCUAGAAGCCAUCGAGAAGUAGCCUAGAGUUCCCACAGUAUCAUAGGACAGAGAUUUUUAAGGAGAAAUUUGCAUAUGAAAAAGAAUGGGUUCUGCUUCUGUGAAAUGUGAUAAUAUAUGCACGGUGAUUUUCACUAUGCUUGGAUGCUCAGUAAUUGGUCACUAUAUAUGUUAAGUCUUCCUGCCCUUUUCUGAUACUCUUUCUAACAUCCCUUGAAGGGCAGUCCAAAUUUUCACUCAAUUACCAUCAUUCAGCUAACAUUCACUGUCUGUUACUUGCAGGUCAGCAAGUUGACUCUAUGGCACAAGCUUCCCCUUUUCUGGCAAUGUUACUUCUGAGCCAUGUUUGCAGCCUCCUAAGAUG
rnacentral:lncRNA from 1 species